rnacentral:rRNA from 1 species
GAUGAAUGCUGGCGGCGUGCCUAACACAUGCAAGUCGAGCGGCAGCGAGGGGUGCUUGCACCCUGUCGGCGAGCGGCGAACGGCCGAGUAACGCGUAGGAAUUUGCCCCAAAGUGAGGAAUAACUGCCCGAAAGGGUAGCUAAUGCCGCAUAUGGUCUUCGGAUUAAAGGAUUUAUCCGCUUUGGGAGAAGCCUGCGUUGGAUUAGGUUGUUGGUAGGGUAAUGGCCUACCAAGCCGACGAUCCAUAGCUGGUCUGAGAGGAUGAUCAGCCAGACUGGAACUGAGACACGGUCCAGACUCCUACGGGAGGCAGCAGUGAGGAAUCUUCCACAAUGGGCGAAAGCCUGAUGGAGCAACGCCGCGUGAAGGAUGAAGGCCUUCGGGUUGUAAACUUCUUUUAUGAGUGAAGAAUAUGACGGUAACUCGUGAAUAAGCACCGGCUAACUACGUG